CUGUGUUGGUCAGGCUGGUCUCGAACUCCUGACCUCAUGAUCCACCCGCCUCGGCCUCCCAAAGUGCUGGGAUUACAAGCAUGAGCCACCAUGUCCGGCCAAAAUAAGUACUCUUAGUACUCCUAUUUUAUAGAUGAGGAAACAAAGCACAGGGUGUAAGAUGGGAUCGUUAUAACAAUUUACUCUCCCAUCCUGGGGCUUUGCUUCUGCCCCCUGCCCUGCCCCCUGUGGUAGAUGGGCUUUCUUCUCAGCCUCUCCAAGCAGUUGUCGUUCAAGGGUGGCCAACGGCCUGUGGCUACUGAAUGGUCUAUGCCUGUGGCUCACUGCUCAUUAUGAUUGGACAGCUCUUCAAGUCAAAGCUACAAGUAGGGCUUUCCAUUGCUAGCCUGCCAAGGACUUAAGCAGGCCCCAGGACAGCUCAGUUUUCCAAAGACUUUUUUUUCUCUCUCUAACUUGAGUUAAUCAUUCCCUGGCCAAAGUCAGGAUCGUUAUGCUCUGAAUGUUUGUGUCCUCCCAAAAUUCAUCUGUUGAAAUCCGGACUCCCAGGGUGGUGGUUUUAGGAGGCAGGGCCUUUGGGAGGUGAUUAGGUUAUGAAGGUAAAGCCCUCAUGAAUGGGAUUAGGGUCCUUAUGAAAGAGAUGCAAGAAAGCUAGCUUCCCCUUCUACCAUGCGAGGGCAAAGCAAGAAGGCUCCAGGAAGCAGGCCUUUGCCAGGUAUCAAAUCUGCCUUGACCUUGGACUUCUCAGUCUCCAGAAUUGUGAGAAACACAUUUUGGUUGUUUACAAGCCAUCUAGUUUAUGGUAUUUUUAUUGCAGCCUGGCCUGUCAGUUUCUGAGCUUGCAAAGUAUUGAUUUUCUCAACUUCUCUUGCACAGAGGCUGUGGACUCCCAAUCUCAAGGUCUGCUUUCCUACUCCCGCACCUGAGGCAAAGGAACUGAACUCAAAAUGAUCCGAUGACCUCGCCUAUAGGAAUGGGCCCCUGUACUCUUGGUGAAUAAAGGAAGGGCUUGAGGAAGGAGAGACCUAGGUUCAAGUCCCAGAGCCACCACUUACUUACUAGCUAUAUGAUGUUUGGAUACGGGGUUUCACCAUGUUGGCCUGUCUGGUCUCGAGCUCCUGAUGUCGUGAUCUGCCCGCCUUGGCCUCCCAAAGUGCUGGGAUUACAGGGUCUUGCGCUGUCACCCAGGCUGGAGUGCGGUGGCACAAAUACGGCUCAUUGCAACCUCUACGUCCAGGGCUCAAGUGAUCCUCCCACCUCAGUCUCCUGAGUAGCUUGGACUACAGGUGUGUACCAGCUACAGGUGGGCCCAGCUAAUUUUUGUAUUUUUUUUUUAUUGCAUUUUAGG